rnacentral:rRNA from 1 species
UACGAAGGGGGCAAGCGUUGUCCGGAUUUAUUGGGCGUAAAGAGCGUGUAGGCGGCCGCACAGGUCCGUUGUGAAAACUGGAGGCUCAACCUUCAGACGUCGAUGGAAACCGUGCGGCUAGAGUCCGGAAGAGGAGAGUGGAAUUCCUGGUGUAGCGGUGAAAUGCGCAGAUAUCAGGAAGAACACCCGUGGCGAAGGCGGCCCUCUGGGACGGUACUGACGCUGAGACGCGAAAGCGUGGGGAGCGAACAGG